rnacentral:rRNA from 1 species
UUACAGCGUCAGCUAUACAUGCAAGUCGGACGGGAUCCGUUGGUAGCUUGCUAUCAAUGGUGAGAGUGGCCCACGGGUGCGUAACGCGUGAGCAACCUACCUCUAUCAGGGGGAUAGCCUCUCGAAAGAGAGAUUAAGACCGCAUAAUAUAAUCUACCGGCAUCGGGAGAUUAUUAAAUAUUUAUAGGAUAGAGAUGGGCUCGCGUGACAUUAGCUAGUUGGUAGGGUAACGGCUUACCAAGGCGACGAUGUCUAGGGGCUCUGAGAGGAGAAUCCCCCACACUGGUACUGAGACACGGACCAGACUCCUACGGGAGGCAGCAGUAAGGAAUAUUGGUCAAUGGGCGGAAGCCUGAACCAGCCAUGCCGCGUGCAGGAUGACUGCCCUAUGGGUUGUAAACUGCUUUUGUCCAGGAAUAAACCUAGAUACGAGUAUCUAGCUGAAUGUACUGGAAGAAUAAGGAUCGGCUAACUCCGUGCCAGCAGCCGCGGUAAUACGGAGGAUCCGAGCGUUAUCCGGAUUUAUUGGGUUUAAAGGGUGCGUAGGCGGCCUAUUAAGUCAGGGGUGAAAUACGGUGGCUCAACCAUCGCAGUGCCUUUGAUACUGAUGGGCUUGAAUCCAUUUGAAGUGGGCGGAAUAAGACAAGUAGCGGUGAAAUGCAUAGAUAUGUCUUAGAACUCCGAUUGCGAAGGCAGCUCACUAAGCUGGUAUUGACGCUGAUGCACGAAAGCGUGGGGAUCGAACAGGAUUAGAUACCCUGGUAGUCCACGCCCUAAACGAUGAUAACUCGAUGUUGGCGAUAGACAGCCAGCGUCUUAGCGAAAGCGUUAAGUUAUCCACCUGGGGAGUACGCCCGCAAGGGUGAAACUCAAGGAAUUGACGGGGGCCCGCACAAGCGGAGGAGCAUGUGGGUUAAUUCGAUGAUACGCGAGGAACCUUACCCGGGCUUGAAAGUUAGUGAAGGAUGCAGAGACGCAUCCGUCCUUCGGGACACGAAACUAGGUGCUGCAUGGCUGUCGUCAGCUCGUGCCGUGAGGUGUUGGGUUAAGUCCCGCACGAGCGCAACCCCUAUUGUUUAGUUGCCAGCAUUUAAAGGUGGGGGACUUCUAAACAGACUGCUGUGCCAACAAGUUGAGAGGUGGGGACGACGUCAAGUCCAUCAUGGCCUUACGUUCGGGGCUACCACGUUGCUACAUGGAAUGUUCACGCGGGCAGCUCUAGCCAUUUGGUGGCAUUAAUCUGUCUAAGGCAAUUCACAGUCCGGAAUUGGGGCUCCUGUGGCCAA